rnacentral:tRNA from 1 species
GGGGUUGUGGCUCAGUGGAAGAGCGCUCGCCGAGGCAUGUGUGAGACCCCGAGUUCGAUCCUCAACACCA